rnacentral:piRNA from 1 species
UAUAAACAGUGUCCUUCGCCUUACAGAAAC